rnacentral:rRNA from 1 species
AGAGAGAGACAUGCGCGCAUAUCAAUAAGGCGGAGGAAAAGAAACUAACAAGGAUUCCCUUAGUAACGGCGAGUGAAGCGGGAAGAGCUCAAAUUUGAAAUCUUCAAGGUUUUACCUUGACGAAUUGUAGUUUAAAGAAGUGUUUUCUGCUGAAGUUUUGGUAAAAGUUCUUUGGAAUAGGACAUCAUAGAGGGUGAGAAUCCCGUAUUUGACCAUUAUUUUCAGCUUUGUGAUACACUUUCAAAGAGUCGGAUUGUUUGGGAAUGCAGUCCAAAAUGGGUGGUAAAUUUCAUCUAAAGCUAAAUAUUGGCGAGAGACCGAUAGCGAACAAGUACCGUGAGGGAAAGACUGAAAAGAACUUUGAAAAGAGAGUUAAACAGUACGUGAAAUUGUCAAAAGGGAAGCGUUUGACACCAGUGUUGUUUUCUCGAAAAUCAAUUAAAAAUGGCUCGAUUUUGUAUUGCUGAGACCUUAAAAGCUCACUGUACAUUUUUCGUGUCUUUUUUAAUGCACUUUUCGUUUAACAAGUCAACAUCAGUUUCUUUUGUUGUAAAAGGGUCAUUGGAAGGUGGCUUUCUUUUCGGAGAAAGUGUUUAUAGCCUUUGGCCUCCGCAAUCGGAGAGACUGAGGUCUGCAGCGUAGACUCUUCGGGGUUAGAUACAUUUGUGCUAAGUUAUAGCUUUUUAUAGACAACUUGUUGACUAUAAUUAGUCUUGUAGCUUACUCAGCUUAUGCUAUUUUACCUACGCUUAGGAUGUUGAAGAUGUAGCACAUCAU